rnacentral:rRNA from 1 species
UGCUAAUACCGCAUACGCCCUACGGGGGAAAGGAGGGGACCUUCGGGCCUUCCGCGAUUGGAUGAACCUAGGUGGGAUUAGCUAGUUGGUGAGGUAAUGGCUCACCAAGGCGACGAUCCCUAGCUGUUCUGAGAGGAUGAUCAGCCACACUGGGACUGAGACACGGCCCAGACUCCUACGGGAGGCAGCAGUGGGGAAUAUUGCACAAUGGGGGAAACCCUGAUGCAGCCAUGCCGCGUGUGUGAAGAAGGCCUUCGGGUUGUAAAGCACUUUCAGUAGGGAGGAAAGGUUGCAGUUUAAUAAACUGUAGCUGUGACGUUACCUACAGAAGAAGGACCGGCUAACUCCGUGCCAGCAGCCGCGGUAAUACGGAGGGUCCGAGCGUUAAUCGGAAUUACUGGGCGUAAAG